GCGCUUUCAGCGGCCUUUCCGCCGGCGCUGACUGAGCGGAGGGGUUGUUUGUCGCGUGGCGGCGUUCAGGGUCAUCUCCCGAAAUCUCCAGACAUCCCGCAAUUCCCACGCCAUCCGCUCUGUGUCCGCAUGAACCAGCCAUCAGGACGCCAAGAUGGACUCUGGCGUGACCUGAGCACAGCAGAUGGCCUAUCGCUGCAGCCACCUCCUGAAACCCUGAUUUCCCUGGUGUUGUCCUGUUUCCUGGCUGUGCUGUUAGCAAUGUCAUGAGGGGCCGGCGUGGGCUGGCUGCUUGUCCCCUGCAGGAGUGUCACAUGACUGCUGUUCCAUGAGGGGUGUCCUCAGGGAGAGCAUGGAUUGCAAGCUCCCAGGUCCCUGGCCGAACACCGCAACCUUUCAAGGAACCACAGCCUCAGCAUCCCUUUGAAUGUAACUCUUAGUGACUGUCGUCAUGGCAGGUGAAAUGGAUGUGUCGUCCGUACCAUAGAAGAUCUCCAAACCUUCUCCCGGAGGAUUUCCAGCUGACCUCUGUCCUGUGUGCCCAGCGGCCCUGUGGGAGGAAUCAUCCAGAAGAGAUGACCGUGAAGCUUGUCAGAUUCUUUUUGGCGCUCUUCUGGACCCCAGAGGGGCAGAGAAUGGAGAGUGAGGUCAGCACAGGAAGGUCACCAGAGCUGCUUCCUGCUGCCCACCCGGAGCAUCACAGAACAGCUGUUCACUUUGCGCAAGACCAGGGUCCAGACACGGCAGACGGCAGCUGGUUCCGAGUGUUGACAACCGAGCCCUCGGCCAGCCUAUGUACCCCUACCCAUGCCUAGAAUGACUUCUUGGUAACAAGGAGUUUUUCUUUUGAGUUUGUAACUUUUGUUCCCUUUCCACUAAGCCAUUCAGUAAACCUUACAGACUUGC